GACGAACGCUGGCGGCGUGCUUAACACAUGCAAGUCGAACGGAAAGGCCCUGCUUUUGUGGGGUGCUCGAGUGGCGAACGGGUGAGUAACACGUGAGUAACCUGCCCUUGACUUUGGGAUAACUUCAUGAAACUGGGGCUAAUACCGGAUAGGAGCUCCUGCUGCAUGGUGGGGGUUGGAAAGUUUCGGCGGUUGGGGAUGGACUCGCGGCUUAUCAGCUUGUUGGUGGGGUAGUGGCUUACCAAGGCUUUGACGGGUAGCCGGCCUGAGAGGGUGACCGGACAAAUUGGGACUGAGAUACGGCACAGACUCCUACGGGAGGCAGCAGUGGGGAAUAUUGCACAAUGGGCGGAAGCCUGAUGCAGCAACGCCGCGUGCGGGAUGACGGCCUUCGGGUUGUAAACCGCUUUCGCCUGUGACGAAGCGUGAGUGACGGUAAUGGGUAAAGAAGCACCGGCUAACUACGUG
rnacentral:rRNA from 1 species